rnacentral:rRNA from 1 species
AACGAACGCUGGCGGCAUGCCUAACACAUGCAAGUCGAACGAGAUCUUCGGGUCUAGUGGCGCACGGGUGCGUAACGCGUCGGAAUCUGCCCUUUGGUUCGGAAUAACAGUUGGAAACGACUGCUAAUACCGGAUGAUGACGAAAGUCCAAAGAUUUAUCGCCAGAGGAUGAGCCCGCGUAGGAUUAGCUAGUUGGUGUGGUAAAGGCGCACCAAGGCGACGAUCCUUAGCUGGUCUGAGAGGAUGAUCAGCCACACUGGGACUGAGACACGGCCCAGACUCCUACGGGAGGCAGCAGUGGGGAAUAUUGGACAAUGGGCGAAAGCCUGAUCCAGCAAUGCCGCGUGAGUGAUGAAGGCCUUAGGGUUGUAAAGCUCUUUUACCCGGGAUGAUAAUGACAGUACCGGGAGAAUAAGCUCCGGCUAACUCCGUGCCAGCAGCCGCCGUAACAC